AAUUAUGUCGUCAUAAUUGAUUAAAUUUAUUUAAUUUUUUUUAGAUGGCUCCUAGAAGGAAACCAGCAGCACCUACUUAUGCCCAGUUGUUUGGCGAUGGUUCCCGUACAUCUUCUUCCGGUCCAUCGUCUUCCGAUGCAGUUCCAGACUCUCAGACUUCUCAGAGAGUUUUUUCGAGUCCUCCUCUUCCACCGCAGAUGCCUCCACCUCCUCCUCCGGCAGCUGCACCUGAGCCUGUCCCAGAAG
rnacentral:lncRNA from 1 species